rnacentral:rRNA from 1 species
AUCAACUUUCGAUGGUAGGAUAGAGGCCUACCAUGGUGGUAACGGGUAACGGGGUGUUAGGGCACGACACCGGAGAGGGAGCCUGAGAAACGGCUACCACAUCCAAGGAUGGCAGCAGGCGCGCAAAUUACCCAAUCCCGACACGGGGAGGUAGUGACAAUAAAUAACAAUACGGGGUUCUUUUGGAUCUCGUAAUUGGAAUGAGUACAAUUUAAAUCUCUUAACGAGGAACAAUUGGAGGGCAAGUCUGGUGCCAGCAGCCGCGGUAAUUCCAGCUCCAAUAGCGUAUAUUAAAGUUGUUGCAGUUAAAAAGCUCGUAGUUGAAUUUCGAGACCGGUUUACUGGUCGUGCUUUUGUACGUACUGGUAUAAUCGGUUUCUCUCUUCUGACGAACUAUAAUGCCAUUAAUUUGGUGUUAUGGGAAAUCAGGACUGUUACUUUGAAAAAAUUAGAGUGUUUAAAGCAGGCUCACGCUUGAAUACAUUAGCAUGGAAUAACGGAAUAGGACGUUUGAUUCUAUUUUGUUGGUUUCUAGGAUCGACGUAAUGAUUAAUAGGUAUAGUUGGGGGCUUUAGUAUUCAAUUGUCAGAUGNG